rnacentral:rRNA from 1 species
GGGAGCUUGCUCCCUGAUGUUAGCGGCGGACGGGUGAGUAACACGUGGGUAACCUGCCUGUAAGACUGGGAUAACUCCGGGAAACCGGGGCUAAUACCGGAUGGUUGUUUGAACCGCAUGGUUAAACAUAAAAGGUGGCUUCGGCUACCACUUACAGAUGGACCCGCGGCGCAUUAGCUAGUUGGUGAGGUAACGGCUCACCAAGGCAACGAUGCGUAGCCGACCUGAGAGGGUGAUCGGCCACACUGGGACUGAGACACGGCCCAGACUCCUACGGGAGGCAGCAGUAGGGAAUCUUCCGCAAUGGACGAAAGUCUGACGGAGCAACGCCGCGUGAGUGAUGAAGGUUUUCGGAUCGUAAAGCUCUGUUGUUAGGGAAGAACAAGUACCGUUCGAAUAGGGCGGUACCUUGACGGUACCUAACC